CCCUCCUCUCGCUUUUCCAGUUUCCCGUCGCCUCCGCCAUCGCCUCCUCCCCUCUCCCCUCUCUCUCUCCCGUCUCCUCCCUCUCAACCCUAGUCGCCACCACCCACCCUCUACUGCUCCACCACACACCCACCUCCCCUCUGGAUCAGGUGCAGGCCGGCCGGUGCGCGCAGGCGGCGGCGCUCCACUCGAGGGCAAAGGGAGGCAACGGCGACGGUGGCCGCCGUGGACACCCGCGGCUAUGACGAACCUCGCCGCCAUGAGGCCGCCAUGGAGGCCCGUCCCGAGCUCGGCUCGCCGCUCCUCCGGUGACCCUCGUUGCGCCUGGAUCCGGGUCGGGCGGAUCCGACAGAGGAGCCCUCCCAUGGCACCGGCGGCUCUGGAGAUGAGGGCUGCACAGAGGAAGAGGAGCAGCAGCAGCUCGAGGUCGUUACGCGUCGCCCACACCCCUCCUCCGCUCGCUCUCGUCUCUGUCAGGCUGCUGAUGUUCACUGCACUGGAGGGAGAGGACAAGAGUAAGAGAGCAAGAACAAUAGAUGAUUCGGUUAUUUGUGAAACUGACGGCUCUUGUGAGGAGCAAGGAUAGAGAAGGCUAUGAACCAAUGAGGUAAGUUUUAUUUCCAGUUUUUCAAUUAAGAAGUACUGGAGGAUAUGCCAUAUGUUUAGCUGCUAAUAUUUACAUAUGGUGUACGUAAUAAGUUGUCUUGCUGGCUCUUUAUGUGUAUCGUUUGGAAAAACUGCAGCAGAUGAACAUCAUCUUUAUCCAAAUAUCUUCAGAUAUAACUGACAUCCUCGCAGCGCGUGGGAGCCGGUGUCUUCGGCCAGAGCUGGGUCUCCUUGCCGGCGACCUUGCCAUCACCAGCCUAUCUGCAGUUUUGCAGGGAUGGACAUAUGGAUUGAAUGGUACCCUCCUGAAAUCUACACAGAUGUCAGAUCGGAGAAAGAAGAGAUGAAGAACAAUUUUAAUUGAAGAGUUGAAGAAGACUAAGCACGAGUCCCCCUGAAGUGCUUGACCACCGGCCGGUUGCAGUGGAGGUCAGCAUCACCUAGCUGUGGCCAUCCUGGGCGCCGAGAGAAUUAGCUGAAAAAUCUUGCUGAGAUCCAGGUCACGGGUCAUCCCCAUUCAGGUGGCUAUGAAACUUGUUCCUAACAAAGACAAAUUUGUGGAGGUGGCUAGGGGAACAGGAGGAGCAAGUUUAGCCUGGCAGGUGCUUCUCAGGUUCGAUGGUUUCCAACAAGGGAGCGAUAUCCAUGCUCUGCAUCAAGGUUGUAGUGCUUUCUUCAUGGGUUCGGCCUUUGCCAUUAAGAUGCAUGAUGCUCUGACAAACAGAAACAUCAGGACUACAGACAGAUAGAAGAAGCUUUUAUCAAUGUCUCCCCUUUCUGACAAUUGAGUGAAUUUCUAUGCAAGAUAAAUUAAACUAUGUUCUUGAUCAUGAAUCUUUACGUGUCUGUGCUCAACUGAAUCGUGUUUGCUUGGUGUGAUCUCUCCCAGAACAAAAAUCUUGAUGAGCAAGAAGUAGUAUAACUGGCGGGAAAUGCUAGAGCUUUUUUGUUAUGUACCAUCAAGAUAGUAUGGCUUAUCAUUUUAAAUAGCAAUGCCUGAUGAGUGCUGAUCAUAUUAAUCUUUAAUACUCUGUCUUGCUGGCCGUGUACUAAAAAUGGCACUUCCAUGUCUAAUGAAGAUAUGUGUGCUUGUGAUAUGCUCAAUCUGGGAUGGUCCAGUCUGAUGUUUACUUAUGCUUUAUAAAUAGGAGGGAGUGGGGGGAAAGAGCUAUAGAAGAAUACACCCUGCUAUCACUCCUAAUUUUGCGACUUGUUCCAUAUGUUUUAUUUUCAAUUUAUAUAUUUUAAUGCACACUCUUUCAAUACAUGGCUUACACUCAGCCUUUGCGCCAUUGGCGCAACGGGUCAUCUAGUUGUAUUAAAUCAUGGCCCAGCUGCCCCUCUAUGAGAUGGUCAAUCUUAGAAUUAUGUUUCCUACAACUUAAAUGGGAUAACUUACCUGCUGUAUCAAUCAUAUCAUCCAUCAUAACAAACACUUUCCCUCUU